AGCAUUCCAAUCUGAAAAUUUCUAGUCGUGCACGGAGAAAAAAAGCAGUGCAACAACAAUUCAUCAUAAUCAAAGUGUAGCACUGAAAAAGGGCAAAACCAGGUGAUAAUCCCUUUUUGAGUUGAAAUUUGAGUUUGAUCUUAAGUCUUUCUGCUCGAUCAUUGUUUCUUCUUCACUCUGACCGUUAGCUUUUGCUUGAUUUCUAGAAUAUUUUUAUUUUCUCUUUGUUUUUGGGAUAAUGUAUAAGCUGAGUUAUUAGUGGAGGUUUAUUCUACAUGGGUUUGAUCUCAAUAGCUACCGUAUAGAGUACUCUUUCAUUUCUGAAUAUAUUUUUUUUCAGUUUUCUUCAUCUUCUCAUCUUGUUGUUAUAAUUUUCAGGUCUACUCCUCUUUCAGUUUUUUCCAACUCUAUUUUUUUUUUUGGUUGAAUCCAUUUUAGGGCUUCAUUUUCUGAUCUGACUUAACUUUUUGCAGUUACACAGUAAAGUGUGAGGGAGAAUUUAGAGUCAAGGGCACAAUUCUAAAGGUAUUGCUUGAAGGCUUUUUUUCUCUUUUUCAUCAACCUUCAUCGCGGACAGUGAUAAAGUGUUGACUACAAUAGAAAAAAAUUGAAUUUACUAAAGACUAUUAUAUAAUUUCCUGUACCUUCAUUAUUAACUAAUUUUGCACAAUCUUGUAGCUAUCAAUUAUUUAAAAAAAAAAAAAAAAGAACUCAAAUAGAAUGGAGAAAAGCUUUGUGUACAAAAUUCCCAAAGGCCAGUAAUGAACUUAUGUUUUGCCAAUUAUUUUGUUUAACAUUUAGCUUGCUUGUUUUUAAAUUGAAGUUGACAAAUGAACUAUUUUAGCUGAAAUAUGGCAUCUUGAUAUCUCUUAUUCAAGAACCGUAUACUCUUCGCAAAAAAAAGGACUUCUUCUUAAGAAUAGACCUAUGUUGUUUUCCAUCUCUUAAGUUUUUUAAAUUUGAGUUAAUGUGCUGAGUAGUCGAAGUAGUUUAAGAUUACUCUUUCUUCCCUUAUAGUGUCAUAUUUAUAAAUUAGGAACAAUACAUAGAUUGUUAGCAAUAAUUUUUUGAAUACACAUUCGUUCUUAGGAGAAUUUUUAGGCUCCUUCAAAUGAGGCAAAACUGAAAACUAAGUAAUAACUUGGUUUUCUAUCUAACUGGAGAGAGUCUGAAAAGGAAAUGAAGCUGUUAUGAGUUAAAUCCUUCCAAAUUGUGUUUCAUUCUCCAAUUUUAGGGAAAUAAUGUUGCCUCAAGUUGACAUAUGUAUGUGGAUCAAGUUUCAAUUAUUUUGUGCAUGCAAAUUCAUGCUUUCAUGAUCAAAUAACAAUCAGAUUCUAUUUCUGAAUGAUAUGUGUGACCCUUUCUACAUUUUGAUAUAGAGUUGGUCAUCUUUUCUUUUGACUAUACUUUUAAAAAAAUUCUUAGCUUUUGCUUUGCUGUAGGAAAUUAUAAGCUUCUUUGCUAACUACCUACUGCUUAGGAACAAAGAAAUACAUGUUCUAAUAUGAUUUUGUUUUAUAAGUGAGAGUUAUAUAAGUUAACCAGGUAAGAAACUGCUAUUUAGACCACAAACUAUAUCAACCAUUAACUAUUAUUUUAUCCUUGAUUACUUUUUCACCCCCAGUAUCACUUUCAUGAAUUUUGGUUCUAAUAUUUUCUUAAAAUAUUUGCUCUGCAGCUUCCUUGAAGGUUGGAUUGGUCUUUCCCUAUUAUUAGGGCAUUCAAAGAAUAGAGGUCACAUAUAGAAGAAUUGACCAUGAUUUCACCUACAAGAACUUAAAGAUCCUCAAGAGAUGAGCCUAAACUCCGAGCAAGCUUCUGCCUACUUUACCUCUAUUAAUAUUGUGGUUGAUUAUAAUGGAAGAUAUGGUAUUUUAAAUUGUUAUUCGAGUACAUCAGUUUUUUCUAUAAAUUUUUCACCUGUAAGAGUUGGUAGCAUUGUACAUACACAUUGCAGGUUCAGGAUAACCAUUUUGCUGCAAAAUUUUAGGCCUGAAUGUACAAUGAUUUACAUACUAACUCCCUACUCAGUUAAAUCAUGUUAGUUUGCAAGUAAUUUCUUGCUUUACUAAAAUUAGUAUACCUAGC
rnacentral:lncRNA from 1 species